rnacentral:rRNA from 1 species
UACGUAGGCAGCAAGCGUUGUUCGGAAUUACUGGGCGUAAAGAGUGUGUAGGCGGUGCUCUAAGUUUGGUGUGAAAUCUCCCGGCUCAACUGGGAGGGUGCAUCGAAAACUGGAAUGCUAGAGGGUGGGAGAGGUAAGCGGAAUUCCUGGUGUAGCGGUGAAAUGCGUAGAUAUCAGGAGGAACACCGGUGGCGAAGGCGGCUAUCUGGACAGAAACUGACGCUGAGGCGCGAAAGCUAGGGGAGCAAACAGG